rnacentral:rRNA from 1 species
AGGCUAACACAUGCAAGUCGAGCGGAUGAGUGGAGCUUGCCNUGAUUCAGCGGCGGACGGGUGAGUAAUGCCUAGGAAUCUGCCUGGUAGUGGGGGACAACGUUUCGAAAGGAACGCUAAUACCGCAUACGUCCUACGGGAGAAAGUGGGGGAUCUUCGGACCUCACGCUAUCAGAUGAGCCUAGGUCGGAUUAGCUAGUUGGUGAGGUAAAGGCUCACCAAGGCGACGAUCCGUAACUGGUCUGAGAGGAUGAUCAGUCACACUGGAACUGAGACACGGUCCAGACUCUACGGGAGGCAGCAGUGGGGAAUAUUGGACAAUGGGCGAAAGCCUGAUCCAGCCAUGCCGCGUGUGUGAAGAAGGUCUUCGGAUUGUAAAGCACUUUAAGUUGGGAGGAAGGGCAGUAAGUUAAUACCUUGCUGUUUUGACGUUACCAACAGAAUAAGCACCGGCUAACUUCGUGCCAGCAGCCGCGGUAAUACGAAGGGUGCAAGCGUUAAUCGGAAUUACUGGGCGUAAAGCGCGCGUAGGUGGUUCGUUAAGUUGGAUGUGAAAGCCCCGGGCUCAACCUGGGAACUGCAUCCAAAACUGGCGAGCUAGAGUAU